AUUGAACGCUGGCGGCAUGCUUUACACAUGCAAGUCGAACGGCAGCGCGGGCUUCGGCCUGGCGGCGAGUGGCGAACGGGUGAGUAAUGCAUCGGAACGUGCCCAGUAGUGGGGGAUAGCCCGGCGAAAGCCGGAUUAAUACCGCAUACGACCUGAGGGUGAAAGCGGGGGACCGAAAGGCCUCGCGCUAUUGGAGCGGCCGAUGUCGGAUUCGCUAGUUGGUGGGGUAAAGGCUUACCAAGGCGACGAUCCGUAGCUGGUCUGAGAGGACGACCAGCCACACUGGGACUGAGACACGGCCCAGACUCCUACGGGAGGCAGCAGUGGGGAAUUUUGGACAAAGGGGGCAACCCUGAUCCAGCCAUGCCGCGUGCGGGAAGAAGGCCUUCGGGUUGUAAAGCGCUUUUGUUCGGGAAGAAAUCCUCUGGGCUAAUACCCCGGGGGGAUGACGGUACCGGAAGAAUAAGCACCGGCUAACUACGUG
rnacentral:rRNA from 1 species